AAGUGGUUAUUGAACUGCUUUUAUCGGUCUCGGGAGUUGCUAAACCUUCCCAGGUGUAUUUUGGAGGUACAGUAGUUGGUGAACAAGCUAUGAAAUCUGAAGAUGAAGUGGGAAGUUUAAUAGAGUAUGAAUUCAGGGUAAUAAACUUAGGUAAACCUCUUACAAACCUCGGCACAGCAACCUUGAACAUUCAGUGGCCAAAAGAAAUUAGCAAUGGGAAAUGGUUGCUUUAUUUGGUGAAAGUAGAAUCCAAAGGAUUGGAAAAGAUAACUUGUGAGCCACAAAAUGAGAUAAAUGUCCUGAACCUAAAGGUAUGUUGGUAGAUUUAUCUAAUGUCUCCAUAAAUGCAAAUUAGAGAAACUAACUUGUUAGGGAAAAAUCAUUACUGUCCUUAGGAAAGUGGCAUAUUCUGGCAGGUUGACUUUCUCUUUGGUUGUCACAAUUUCUCUUUUCUAGUUCAGUAACUGAGGCAGGCUGAGGCAUUUUUGCUGGUUAAUGACCAUUAUAGUACAUAAGGCAGAGUCAUUCAGUGCUUGCUGAGGCAAAUGGUAUUUUCUGAUGUUUCAUCAUGACCCAGUAUG
rnacentral:sRNA from 1 species